rnacentral:rRNA from 1 species
GAUGAACGCUGGCGGCGUGCCUAAUACAUGCAAGUCGAGCGAACGGACGAGAAGCUUGCUUCUCUGAUGUUAGCGGCGGACGGGUGAGUAACACGUGGAUAACCUACCUAUAAGACUGGGAUAACUUCGGGAAACCGUAGCUAAUACCGGAUAAUAUUUUGAACCGCAUGGUUCAAAAGUGAAAGACGGUCUUGCUGUCACUUAUAGAUGUAUCCGCGCUGCAUUAGCUAGUUGGUAAGGUAACUGCUUACCAAGGCAACGAUGCAUAGCCGACCUGAGAGGGUGAUCGGCCACACUGGAACUGAGACACGGUCCAGACUCCUACGGGAGGCAGCAGUAGGGAAUCUUCCGCAAUGGGCGAAAGCCUGACGGAGCAACGCCGCGUGAGUGAUGAAGGUCUUCGGAUCGUAAAACUCUGUUAUUAGGGAAGAACAUAUGUGUAAGUAACUGUGCACAUCUUGACGGUACCUAAUCAGAAAGCCACGGCUAACUACGUG